ACCUAAGUGCUGAAAUUGGUAUACAGGGGAAACUUAAGAUUUCCUGAGAAAACUCAUGAGUGUUCAAGUCACUCCUUAGGUA
rnacentral:tRNA from 1 species